rnacentral:lncRNA from 1 species
AAAGUUUUCAGGCUCUAAAAGGAAUGAUAUGAUAUGAGUUUAAAUGCUUGAAAAAUAAAAUGUGAAAUAUUCAUUUACAGAAAAUGAUUCCCCCCAAAACUAUAUUUUGUAAAUAUGUCCUUGAUAUUAGUAUUUGGGUAUAAUAACUGAUGUCAGAAUUUAUGGAAUUUUAUCUUGAUCUAUUUGAAGUUAAAUAUGUAAAAUUAGAAUCCUUUCAUUUUUAAAAGUCAUUGUAAAAUAAAUUUUUAUUGAGGAUUCAUGUGGUAUAUUUCAAAUCUUUGAAACAGAAAGAAAUAAACAUAGUGAUGUAGUGAUGUGCCCUGAAGAGAGGUUCUGUAGGUUCUACCCCUAGCUGCCAUCUGCCUUACUGUGUUAGAUCACCUCUCUUAUACUCAAUUUGUGGCUUUUUAAAGAAGUAAAAUGGCUAGGCAUGAUGGCACAUGCCUAUCAUCCCAGUGGAUUAGAAGGCUGGGGCAGGAGAAUUGCAAGUUGGAGGCUAGCCUCAGCAAUUUUAUAAGGCCCUGAGCAACUUAAUGAGACCCUGUCUCAAAAUAAAAAAAAAAAGAAAGAAAGAAAAAAAGAAAUGGGUGUAUGGCUCAGUGGUUAAGCAACCCUGGGUUCAAUCACAGUACUAAAAGAAAAAAAAAGUAAAAUUGUGAAUAUAGCACCAACUGCACUACUGACUGUACAAUUUUAAGUGUAAAAUGAGACCAUACAUGUGGAGUUCUUAGAGCAUGAUGGGUUAUUUCAAUUUACAAUUUCAGAGAUUAUCCCAGUGUCAUAUAAUACUUGACAUUUUUAUCUGACUAUUAUUUGAUGUGACAUAGCUGUGUUGAUACUAAAGUCAUUUAACUGGACAUUAAUGUAUGGCCACUUUUACUCAGGAAUGUUUUGCAAUGGCUAUUACCAAGAAGUUAUUAAAACUUCAAGCUUUUAAAAAAUUACCAAGCAUUUUUGAAACAGGCAUAUUCACUGUUUUAUCCCAGGACAUCCUCCCAUCAUUAGUCCCCACUUCUGGAGGUGAGAGAUGGGGAAAGCAUUUCAGGGAUGGAUUUAGAACUCUGGUGCAGCUUAGACUAGAGGGAGACUGGGAGUCUAGGAUGAGGUGAGGAUGUAGGCUGUGAUAAGAGUGGGAUGGGUCAGAGGCAGGAGCAUGAAAGAUUAGGAAUGGAGGAGGAUUAGAAACCUGUGGCAUAUUUAUUACUUGAUUUGUUCUAAACUAUAAUUAUGUCCAAAUAUCCUGGGUGGAUUGGAGAACAACCUGGAGAUCAAGAUAUUGUAGAGGACUACUGGAUGACCUUGUGUCCUAGAGGGUUCACAUUUUUCCACUCCUUAGUGGUCUACUUUGGAUGUUACUUUUUAUUUUUUGGUACUAGGGAUUGAACCCAGGGGCACUUUACCACUGAGCUACAUCUCCAGUC